rnacentral:rRNA from 1 species
UACAGAGGGGGCAAGCGUUGUUCGGAAUUACUGGGCGUAAAGGGCGCGUAGGCGGCCUGCUAAGUCGGACGUGAAAUCCCCGGGCUCAACCCGGGAACUGCGUCCGAGACGGGCGGGCUUGAAUCCGGGAGAGGGAUGCGGAAUUCCAGGUGUAGCGGUGAAAUGCGUAGAUAUCUGGAGGAACACCAAUUGCGAAGGCAGCUCGCUGGGACGUCACUGACGCUGAGACGCGAAAGCGUGGGGAGCAAACAGG